rnacentral:rRNA from 1 species
GGCCAGCAGCCGCGGUAAUACGGAGGUGGCAAGCGUUGUUCGGAAUUACUGGGCGUAAAGGGCGCGUAGGCGGCGGAACAAGUCAGAUGUGAAAGCCCCGGGCUUAACUCGGGAAUUGCAUCUGAAACUGUUUUGCUUGAGUCCUGGAGGGGAUGGUGGAAUUCCCAGUGUAGCGGUGAAAUGCGUAGAUAUUGGGAGGAACACCUGCGGCGAAGGCGGCCAUCUGGACAGUGACUGACGCUGAGGCGCGAAAGCUAGGGGAGCGAACGGGAUUAGAUACCCCGGUAGUCCUAGCCGUAAACGAUGGGCACUUGGUGUUGGGGGUAUUGAGUCCCUCGGUGCCGGAGCUAACGCGAUAAGUGCCCCGCCUGGGGAGUACGGUCGCAAGACUGAAACUCAAAGGAAUUGACGGGGGCCCGCACA